CGGCCAGAGGGCGGUGGAUUGGACACUCCACCAAUCACAGCCCAGCUCUGCCUUAUAUAAGCCCGGAGCCUGAGCUAAGGAGCAUUGCAAAAUUUGCUCUUUGAGUUAGGUUUUCUUUACUUUGCUAGCAUCUUAUAUUCUCGCCAUGUCCGAAACUGCUCCCGCCGAGACUGCUGCACCAGCUCCAGUGGAGAAGUCUCCCGCCAAGAAGAAGCCGACAAAAAAGGCUGGCGCUGCUAAGCGCAAGGCUACCGGCCCUCCGGUGUCCGAGCUCAUAACUAAGGCUGUGUCCGCUUCCAAGGAGCGCAGCGGCGUGUCCCUGGCUGCGCUCAAGAAGGCUUUGGCUGCCGGUGGCUACGAUGUGGAGAAGAACAACAGCCGCAUCAAGCUGGGACUCAAGAGUCUGGUGAGCAAGGGCACCCUGGUGCAGACCAAGGGCACCGGCGCCUCCGGCUCCUUCAAGCUCAACAAGAAGGCGGCUUCCGGCGAGGCUAAGCCUAAAGCCAAGAAGGCCGGGGCUGCCAAGGCCAAGAAACCUGCAGGCUCCACUCCGAAAAAGCCUAAGAAGGCUGCGGGGGCCAAGAAGACCGUCAAGAAAACUCCAAAGAAAGCAAAGAAGCCUGCGGCGGCUGGAGUAAAGAAAGUGGCCAAGAGCCCUAAGAAGGCCAAGGCUGCAGCUAAGCCUAAAAAGGCAGCUAAGAGCCCAGCAAAGCCCAAGGCUGUGAAGCCCAAAGCAGCUAAGCCUAAAGUUGCCAAGCCGAAGACAGCUAAGCCUAAAGCUGCUAAGGCGAAGAAGGCUGCUCCCAAAAAGAAGUAGGUUUGCUUCUGACAGCAACAAAGCCCCAAAGGCUCUUUUCAGAGCCACCCAGAGAGCUCGGUGAAUGUAGCUGUACACACUGGCUUGAAAUUUUAAACGGUCCUGACUUUGAAUCGAGGCACCUGGCUGCAGUUGUUGGCUCGAUUGCUAAGUUCCCGUUCUUCGCAGUACUUCAACUCGCGAAGUCCGCGCCCGACUGGAAGUCCUUCCCUAUGAAGGCGGUGACCAGGUCGCAGAAGGACCUCUAGAAGCCAGCCCCAAGGAGAGUUACUCAGUAGAUUUACACGUGCCGAAGGAGCUACACGCAGUACCGGCAUCUCUUCCAACGCCCUGUGCCAAAGACGUCGUGUCCGACUGCAGCAAAACUGUCCAAGUCAUUUACACUUUUUUUUUUUUUUUGAGACAAUGUAUGACAGUCUUGACUGUCCUGGAACUAGUUCUGUAGAUUAGACGGAAUUUAGAUCCGUUCGCGUCUGCUCCGGAGUGAUGGGAUUAAAAGCGUGCACGACCACUCCACCUGGUCCUCAUUUACGCUUCUAAUGGAAUGUCUACUGGGUUCUUCCUUUGGUGGUACACAGACACCGAAGUUCCUUGAGAACAGUCCUUUUGUUCUAAAGGUUUAAUAAUGUGACUGGUGUGACACCCAAACAGGAGUUUUGUUGUAUUUAACAUUAGGUCGGUUUUAGGCGUUAGAGAUUGUGUAUUGUUUUCAGUUUUAAGGUUAGAUUGCUGGGAACAUUUCAGUAAUCCAUUGUUAACUGUUGCAGGCUUCCCAGCUGGGCAGUCAAGAAUGCUUAAGUAAAUAGUCUUUAAGGGAACAACUUCCAAUUCGUGUUUUCUUUAGCAAUAUAAGUGUUGGGGAUGCGGUUUCUUGGUCGCUGCAGGCUUAAUUUAUGUGAAAUGCCUGAAUGUUCAUGAAGAAGUUAAAUUAUACUUAGUCAAGGCAUCCCACAGUAGAGUCAGAAUUGGCUUUUAGUGUAAACUCUUUCUUUGCUGGUAAUUCGAAUUUUUCUGUGGAUUUGUAUAUCUGAUCUAUACAGAGCAAAGUAACUGGAAUUUCUGUUGCCAUGCUUCCUUCCUUCCUUCCUUCCUUCCUUCCUUCCUUCCUUCCUUCCUUCUUUCCUUUAUUAUUCAUUUAUUUAUUGAGAUAGGGCUUCUCUGUAGCUUUGAAACCUGUCCUGGAAUUAGCUCUUGUAGACCAGGCUGGCCUCAAACUCACAGAGAUCUGCCUGCCUCUGUCUUCCGAGAGCUGGCCAUACUUUUUAAUAACGUUCCUACGAUGAAAAUGCUAGCUUCAUUUUGCUGCCUAUGUUUUAUUUGCCUUCUAAUGUUUUGCCCCUAUAGAAGUUGAUUUUGUUACUACUUAUUAUUUUUCAGGUAUGGCCACAACCCAGCCCACACUGCCCCCAGAAAGCAGUUCUUACUGAACCUCAGCGCUGGGAUUGCAGUGCUUUAGAAUGUAGGCGACAACCUGCCUGUUUGUCAUUAAUUCCACGGUGUUAGAAUUUUCCUUCAUCCACAAUAGAGAUUUGUCUUUUUAAAUUAGCUCUUUAUUUCAUUUCGUUAUAUUCUUUCUCUUCUGCAAUGUGGGGACGAAAUUCUAAGCAAUAAAGCAGUAUUUCUGAAUGUGAUGCCUUGCCUUAAGCAAAGACCAGGAGUGUCCCCUACCCUCAUUUUAGGACUUCAUUCUUGUGAGAUGUUAAGUGACCAGUUUGAGUAUGCUGCAGAUUAAACACCUUAGCUUGUCAAUAUGCUUUUAUAUGUAUUUUCAACAAUUAGAAAAUUAGGCAUUAACUGACUAAUUGGUAGGACAGUAUAGUUUAGUAGUUGAGUGACAAAGGUAUUUCAGAAGUUUCUAGAGAGACAAAUCAGUAGGCAAACAGAUCUUGCUUCAUCUUUGCCUCUGAAUUUUUUUGUGUAUUGAUAUAUUCUCUUCCUAGGAAUGCUGCUUUUUAAAAAUUUAUUUGGUAAUUUAAAAGGGAACACUGGAAGGUUUUGUGAAUUUAUAUUUUACUGCUUUAACUUCAUUAUCACUUUAAAUAUUUAAAAAUUUUAAUCUUAUAUUGAUUCCUAUAUGCAAAACUGAAGUAUAGUUUGCAGGAAGGUUUUUCCUUUACUUUAGAAUCCUUACAGUGACCCUCUAACAAUGAUGCUGUACAACAUGGAUGGCUUCUGAUUGGAAAUACAUUGACUACACUAGGCCUAAGACAGGACAGUGACCCAGAGCAGAAGGGGAUAGGAUAUGGGGUUGAUGAGAAUAUUGAUAUUUUUGUUAUUAAUUGUAUUUAUUUACAAAUUGAAGAAAUAGAAACCAAGGAGGUUAAAUGGUAAAUGUGGUUAUACCGAAACUCCAGCCUUUAGAGUCGAAGGGCAAGAACAGCAGGAAAAAAAAGGAAACACUGAUUUAGGAGGGGUUCUUAUUGCUGCCGUCCGUGCAGAAGGCACAGAGCCCUGCGCCCCAGAACUGGAAAGGAGAGAUGGCAGCAUUAGUAGAGGAGUGGUCAGCCAGAGCCGACAUCCCCCUCAAUACCCACACCCACUUGCAUCCCUGCUCCCGCCACUCCCAGCCCUGGCAUUUUCUGCCCCUUGGCACAACUGUUACAUGGCAUUUAGGUUCACCUUCCCUGCUUUUUAACUUUGCUGUAUUACAAAAGGAAUGAAACAGAAAUUGGUUAAGGAAAAUGGAUUUAUGUAUAGUUUGACUCAAAUCAGGAAAAGAACUUAUUCUCCACUGUGCCUGUGGCAAUCUUAUAUUUUAUAGGAGUGAACUAGAAAAGGACGGACUUUAGGUUUACAGGGCUUUUCCCGGGAUAAAUACUAUUAAGCCGGAGGCACAAAACUGACCUCCUCUCCCAGUUACAUAGCCCAGGCUUGCUGUAAACUCUCAUCAGUCCCGCUAUCUAGGACCAACUGCAAAACAGUGAAAUCCUGCCUUUCCUAGGGUUGAUCCUGUGGGUUAGGAGGGAGCGGGCGGGACAGAGAGGAACACUUGCAGUUGGGAAUGGUUUGAAGACAAUUUCUGCUGUCAUGCUUGGCCACCCUGUCUACCCAUUGCUCUUCUAUGCCUGCCAUUCGGGGUGGGGUUGUGCUUUGACAGGGUGGGGUAUGAGCUGCUCAAAGUAAGUUAACAGGUGUCACUUCCAGACCCAGGUCUCAUGUGCUGGGUUACUUCAGGACUGAGGUGAACAGCAACUCGGGGACUUCUUAUUCGAGAGAAAUGAGUUGUAG